GACGAACGCUGGCGGCGUGCUUAACACAUGCAAGUCGAGCGAUGAAGCUCCUUCGGGAGUGGAUUAGCGGCGGACGGGUGAGUAACACGUGGGCAACCUGCCUCAUAGAGGGGAAUAGCCUUCCGAAAGGAAGAUUAAUACCGCAUAAGAUUGUAGUACCGCAUGGUAUAGCAAUUAAAGGAGCAAUCCGCUAUGAGAUGGACCCGCGUCGCAUUAGCUAGUUGGUGAGGUAACGGCUCACCAAGGCGACGAUGCGUAGCCGACCUGAGAGGGUGAUCGGCCACAUUGGGACUGAGACACGGCCCAGACUCCUACGGGAGGCAGCAGUGGGGAAUAUUGCACAAUGGGGGAAACCCUGAUGCAGCAACGCCGCGUGAGUGAUGACGGUCUUCGGAUUGUAAAGCUCUGUCUUCAGGGACGAUAAUGACGGUACCUGAGGAGGAAGCCACGGCUAACUACGUGCCAGCCGCCGCGGUAA
rnacentral:rRNA from 1 species